ACGCAAGUGUGAAACUUGAAGGAAUUGACGGAAGGGCACCACAAGAACGCGUGGAGCAUGUGGCUUAAUUUGACUCAACGCGGGAAAUCUUACCGGGUCCGGACACACUGAGGAUUGACAGGCAAUAUUAAAAUAUUUUUAAUUUAUUAUUUAUAUUUUAUGUUAAAUAUGCUAGUCCUUUCAUGAUUAUGUGAUAGGUGGUGCAUGGCCGUUCUUAGUUCGUGGAGUGAUCUGUCUGCUUAAUUGCGUUUCACUAAGGGCUUAUAAAUUUACGUGCGUUGUGGGUACUUUGACCCCUAUGUUGAAAUAUUACAUAGUGCGUGUCUUAGUUUGCAAGACUCGCACAAUUAAGUCCUGAAAGCAACGAAACGUGACCG
rnacentral:rRNA from 1 species